CGGGGUGUAGUUUAACGGCAGAAUGCGCGGCUGGGGGUCGUGCGGUCUGGGUUCAAUUCCCAGCACCCCGA
rnacentral:tRNA from 3 species